rnacentral:lncRNA from 1 species
CUGUUCUUUGAUGAGAGUAGGGUAUGGAAGUCACCCAUUAUUAGUAUGUGAGGAUCAAUAUGUGAUUUCAGCUUUAGUAAUUAUUCUCUUAUGAACUUGUGUGCCCUUUGUGUUUAGUGUGUAAAUGUUUAAAAUAGCAACAUUCUUUGGUGGGAUUUCCUUUUGAUAAGUAUGUAGUAUCCUUCACUAUUCUGAUUAGUUUUUGGCCUGAAGUCUAUUUUUUAUCAUAUUAUUAAAAUGGCUAUUCCUGCUUGCUUCUUAGAUCCAUCACUCAGAAAUGCCUUUCCUGUCCUUUUCACCUGAAGUGAUGUCUAUCCUUCAUGGUGAGGUGUGUUUCUUGGAUGAAUGUAACAGAAUAUGACCCUGUUUCUUAAUUUACUCUGUUAGUCUGUCUUUUUAUUGAGAAUUAUCACUGAGCAAUGUUUAUUGAUUCCUGAUACUUUGUGUUAUAAUGUGGACCCCCCCUUUGAAUAGUUUUGGAAUAGUUAAUUCCUUGUGUCUUCUUGGGUGCAGUUAACUUCUUAAGACUCUAUUUUCUUCUAGUACCUUCUGUAGGGCUGAAUUUGUAGAUAGAAAUUACUUAAAUUUGGCUUUUACCAUGGAACAUUUUCCAUUUUCUGUUUAUUGUUAAAGUUUUGCUGGGCAUAUUAGUCUGGGCUGGCACCUUUGGUCUCUCAGAGUUUGCAGAACAUCUGCCCAAGUUCUUCUGCUUUUUCGAGUCUCCUCUGAGAAGCUGGGAGUUAUUCCGAUGGGCCUGCCUUUGUAUGCUACUUGAUCUUUUUGCCUUGCAGCUUGUAAUAUCCGUUCUUUGUUCUGUAUGUUUAGUGCUUUGGUUAUUAUGUCUAAGGGGAGUUCCUUUUCUGGUCUCGAUUAUUUGUCGUUCUGUAUUCUUCUUGUACCUUGAUAGGCACUAUCCCAAUUGUUCAUAGGUUUGGUCUUUUCACGGUGUCUCAGAUUUCAUAGAUGUUUUGUGCUUGAUUUUUAUUAUUUAUUUAUUUUAUUUUAAAUUUUUUUUAGAUUUAACAUUUUUUUUCGACGAAGCUUUCAAUUUUUUCUGCCUUGUGUUCAACAACUGAGAUUCUCUCUUCUCUGUCUUGUAAUCUGUUGGUGAUGUUUACCACUGAGGUUUUUACUUUAAAUCCUAAAUUUUUCAUUUCUAGUUUCUUCAGUUUGGGUUUCUUUCCUGUUGUCAUUCUUUCACUCAGCUGUUUGUGUUUUCAUAGACUUCAACAAGGCAUUUAUUUAUGUCUUCUUUAAGGUCUUUGGACAUAUCCCCAGUUGCUGUUUUGAAGUGUUUGUCUUGUGCUAUAUUGCAUUUCUCGGGGCCCACUGUAAUGGAGUUACUGGAUUUUGGUGGAGGCACAUUCUCUUGGCUAUUCAUGUUCAUGAUUUUGUGCUGAAGUCUAAGUGUUCAGAGGGUGUUUGCAGUGAUUCUAGGUGUUAAUAGCUGGUCUUGUCUUUGUCGUGUGGGUCUUCUGUCCUUCAAUUGCUGUUGUCCUCUGUGGAUUCUAGGCAAGUGGUGGCUGUAGAUUCACGGGUACGGAGCGCUUUUGCAGGUUGGUAGUCAGCAGAAAGGAAUGGAGAUGGGCUAGGAGAAGGGGCUGAGAGGGCCUGUGGGAAAAAGCUAAGGGGAUCUUGUCCCCACUAAGAGACAGUUCCCAGGGGGUGGAGGUGUGAUGGGAGGAGGGGCUCCUACAAGCAGACUGCAGUAGGGCAAAGGAGAGACAGGGAUGGAAGGGUGGGGAGAAUCCUGGGUCUGUACAAGAGGUGGAGUGGCAGUGAAUGGAACUGGGGUGGGAAGAUGGGCUCCUGUGAGCAGGCUACCACAGGAUGAGGUACUUCUAGAGAGAGUAAGCAUAGCAGAGUACAGGAAAGAUACUGAGAACUGCAUCCUGGAGUUCCAACCCAGUAUGGCCACUGGAAAUAAUGGUUGGUACAAAGGACAGAGGUGACCUAGAACCCAAGCCUGAGAGGGUCCUUAAGUUGGCCACAGAGUAUUCAAAAUAACUGGUGCUGGCAUAAGGGUACCCAUCUGGCCAUCAGACUGACAGUCCUUUUCUUUAAGGCAGCCAGGGGGUUAAUAGAAAAUUGACCAAUAGCUGACAACUAGGGAUUAAAUCCCCACCCUACACCCUUUCUUAUUUACAGGAAAAUGGGCUCAGAAGGAGUGCUCUCAGUAAGAACAGGACACUACCACCAGUCGUGAUUUCUAGCAGUCUUCAACACUUGCCUAGCACCUUGAAAACUGUCCUUUCUCUUCCUCCAAAUACACUAGGUUGCUCUUAACCACUAAGCCAUCACUCCAGCCCAUAUUUAAAUACCUUAAACAUAGUCUUUCUUUUUUAGAUUUAUUUAUUUUAUUUUAUGAGUGUCUUACUUCUAUGUAUGUCUGUGCACCAUGUACAUGCCUGGUACCCGAGGAAAUCAGAAGAGCGCGCCAGAUGUCCCUGAACUGAAAUUAAGGACAUACCAACUAUUGUGAGCCACCAUAUGGGUUCCAGGAACUGAACCUGGGUCCUCUGCAAAAAAAAAAACAAAAAACAAAAAACAACAAC